rnacentral:rRNA from 1 species
UGGGGAAUCUUGCGCAAUGCACGAAAGUGUGACGCAGCAACGCCGCGUGCGGGAAGACGGCCUUCGGGUUGUAAACCGCUUUCAGUUGGGACGAAGGUUCUGCGGUUAAUACCCGUAUGGACUGACGGUACCUUCAGAAGAAGCCCCGGCUAACUACGUGCCAGCAGCCGCGGUAAUACGUAGGGGGCAAGCGUUGUCCGGAAUCAUUGGGCGUAAAGCGCGUGUAGGCGGCUGAGCAAGUCCGCUCUGAAAGCCCGAGGCUCAACCUCGGGAGGUGAGUGGAUACUGCUCAGCUCGAGUCCGGAAGAGGAGUGUGGAAUUCCUGGUGUAGCGGUGAAAUGCGCAGAUAUCAGGAGGAACACCAAUUGCGAAGGCAGCACUCUGGGACGUGACUGACGCUGAGACGCGAAAGCGUGGGGAGCAAACAG